AACACAAACCCCGGCGCUCAAUGCGUCAAGGAAUUUAAAAUUUGCUCUGAGCGCACCUGCAUGGCACCGGAGACGGUUUUCGUGCGGGUCGUGUUCUGACACAUAAUAUAGAAUGACUCUCGGCAACGGAUAUCUAGGCUCUUGCAUCGAUGAAGAACGUAGCGAAAUGCGAUACUUGGUGUGAAUUGCAGAAUCCCGUGAACCAUCGAGUCUUUGAACGCAAGUUGCGCCCGAUGCCAUUAGGUUGAGGGCACGUCUGCCUGGGUGUCACAUAUCGAAGCCUCUUGCCAAUUUCCUAUUGAUAGGUAUUGUGCAGGGUGAAUGUUGGCCUCCCGUGAGCUCCAUCGUCUCAUGGUUGGUUGAAAAUCGAGACCUUGGUAGGGUGUGCCAUGAUAGAUGGUGGCUGUGUUACGCACGAGACCAAAUCAUGUGCUGCUCUAUCGAAUUUAGCCUCUUUUACCCAUAUGCGUUUCUAAGCGCUCGUGAUGAGACCUCAGGUCAGGCGGGGCUACCCGCUGAAUUUAAGCAUAUCAAUAAGCGGAGGAAAAGAAACUAACAAGGAUUCC
rnacentral:rRNA from 1 species